UGUCAAACAGAGCUGUUUAUUUUCAUUACAAUUGGCAGUUUUUAUUACAAGUGGCUCUUGCUCACUCUGACAUAUGAGUAACUGGAAAAGCAAUCCAUGCUCAGCAAGGGAUAACUAAUGCAGAGGUUCGCUGAAACUACACACUGAAUGUACAAACUGCUUAUUUUCUCAGUCCUACUCUUUUAUGAAAGAACCUGCUGCAAUUUUUCAUGUGCUAGUUUGGGUAACUUUUGUAGACUCACUAUAAAAAGUGAUGCGCUUUCUCUGCGUUAUGAUGUAUCCCAGAUCAAAGCUCCAAAUUCAAAACCAUGGAGAUUGGUGUAUUUGUGCAUGUGUGCAUUCAGAACUGAAAUCUCAGCUUUGCACUUCAAGAGGAUUCUGAUGCUGAAAUCUGAAUAUUGUGCCUAGAGCUUUCAUAAUAUAUUAACUUUGAUAUAGUCUAUGUUAUUUUUUGGUCUCAUCUUUGGUUACAAAUACAUACAUACUCAAAUUUACUAACACCAGAAUUCGUUACCAUUUAAUAUGGUGAUGCUUUGUGUUUUUGUGUUUUCUCCACCUGCUACUACUUGGGUUUGGUCUAAUCCUACUGCAUCACAGGCAGCAUCAGAGGACUGAUCUCUGCAGAUCAGCUUUUGACCUCUUUAUAUUUUUUCUAUCUUCUUUAUCACAGGAGUGACUGAAUGUGUGAGAAAGCUCUUAACUGUACUUUCAUAGCUCAAUAUAGUCUUGAGCACAGGAUUAACCUCUGCUUAAGAGUCCUUUCCAGAGACAGGUUCAUCCAGUCUCCUACUGAAAGCACACUGAACUCCAUGUGAGUUUUCCCAUUUGAAAAGCCAUUUGGAGUCUUUUGGCUUGCUCCAUGAGAAAAAGAAAGGUUCUGGUGGAGUCGCUAAGUGACUCUUUCCAACUUUUGGGAUAAAAUUGAUCUCCUAUAUAUGUAGGUCAGCCAUAGCAAUUUGCCUGGUGUAGCAAAAGAAAAUACUAACUUGUUUAUUGCAUGUUUUAAACACAAAGAUACCUGUGCCAAAAGAAUCUAAAACAGCUUUACUACAAAUUAGGGCGUCACUUCUGAUCAAAAAGGGACUGAAUCCAACAAACAAGGUUCUGAUUCUUCAACAGACAACUAUCUCUGCACUCACACUCCUCUGCAAGACUCAAAUGUAAAUUAGGAAAUUAGCUGAAGCCAUUAAAAAAUCAUUUAUCAACGAAGUUGUUAAGUGUAAUAAGCGGCCGUAAGUUAUCUAACAUACUUUUAUACUUCAUCCUAACUUUCUCCUCCUCCAGCAUUUGAGCUGAGCUGUUCAGGGAAUCUUUCUUGUUGAAUACAUAUGAUUCAAAUGCGGGAGAUGUAUUUUUAGCAAUUAAAUGCAGUAAUUUAAGCAGAGUACUGUAAUGAAUGUACUGGAUGGAGAAUGAAGAUAAGGAUAGAAGAUGUAAUAUGCUUAUUUUUGGUAGCUGAUUCUAUUCUGAAAA
ensembl:lncRNA